AUGCCUGACAAUAAUCAGCUGGAGCAGAGGAGCAGUGGAUCACUUUGGACUGAGCAAGCAUUCCAGUUUGCCACAACCCCACCACUUCUUUCCCCUGAUCUUGAAGGUGAACACCAACUGCCCCCCAAUCAGCUGCCCUACAUUUGGAAGCCCUCAUCUGACAGAGAGACACCCCAUUUAAACACCACAACUGUGAUUAAAAUACCUUUUUUUUCCCUUUUCUUUUCUUUUUUUCUUUUUGGCCAAUUUUACAAAACAGGCACAAUAAAUCCACUUCUAUCUAAAGAAGAAGGAACUUGAAGCCAGAAGAGUAGAUGGAACAUCUUAGUUAAUUUAUCUCUCUGUGCAGAUAUAGAUCUAUCCCUAACACAGCUGAUUAAGAAUAAAUGUUCCCUACAUUUCUAUCCCAUUAAGUACCUACUUUUUUCUUGAGAUAAAAAUUUCGUGCUUAAUUUCUUUUCUUCUUGACCUGCACAAAUUCUCUGCCUUCCUCUGUUCAAACUAGUUUCCAAGACUAUCAACUGAGUUCUGAAAUUCAGGAAACAACCUGGGAAUUUAUCUGAUCCUCAUGUAGUAGAGGGGACAAGGCGUUCCUUAUGAAUAUGAGAAUGGAAAGAUGAAAUGUCGCAGAAACAUACAGUUUAAAAAAGAGAAAAAGAAAAUGUAACAUCUUUGUCCAAUGAAAGAUGAAAUGCAUUAUUUUGGAGUAUAGAUCAUUGAAUGUAAAAAAUAGACACAUUAACUUAUGUUUGGAUUGCACUUUCUUGGUGUCAGUUGAUACUUGUCUUAUGUAAAUAAAGCUUUACAAAAUCAAAAUCCCAUGCUCUUUCAAGACAUAUUUAGUUUACAAAAAAAAAAAAAAAAAAGACAUAUUUAGUUUAACUCAGGACUUAAAAAGAAGUCACUGGGAUUGUUGCAAUAACUGGGCAAAGUGGGAGUUUCCAGUACAAUUUUCAUUGAAGGACACCAAAAGGUCAUCUUGUUCCAAAAUAUUUCUGUAUGUGAUGACAAAAGGGAUAUUUUACUGGAGCAUGUCCUUCUCCUAUUAUGAUAAUAUAAAUUAAUUAUAUGAGCUAUUUGUCAUCUUGAUUUCUGUAGAGACAGGACUGAGGGUCAAUAAAAUUGAAUGGAACGCAGCAGAGACAGGAUCUUGAUGGCAGCAGAAUUUUUGAUCAUAGAUGACAGGGCUGGGGCAAUGUCACAGAAAGCAACUACUGUGGAAAUCUCAAUUUUUCAACUUAAUUUAGUAAACAUAAAAUAUGCACAUGUUUGUCUUAUGCAUUCAUUUUCUGGAAUUUGUGAAAAGGUAGCAGAUGGGAAGAAAAUAAUCAGGAUUCUAUCACUCUUUCUUUUUUAAAAAAGAUUUUAUUUAUUUAUUCAUGAGAGAGAGGCAGAGACAUAGAGGGAGAAGCAGGCUCCCUGCAGGGAGCCUGAUGCAGAACUCAAUCUCAGGACUCCGGGAUCAUGCCGUGAGCUGAAGGCAGAGACGUUCAACCACUGAGCUACCCAGACGUCCCAAGAGUUCUGUCACUCUU
rnacentral:lncRNA from 1 species